AUUGAACGCUGGCGGAAUGCUUUACACAUGCAAGUCGAACGGCAGCACGGGGGCAACCCUGGUGGCGAGUGGCGAACGGGUGAGUAAUACAUCGGAACGUGCCCAGUCGUGGGGGAUAACGUAGCGAAAGCUACGCUAAUACCGCAUACGAUCUCUGGAUGAAAGCGGGGGACCACAAGGCCUCGCGCGAUUGGAGCGGCCGAUGGCAGAUUAGGUAGUUGGUGGGGUAAAGGCUCACCAAGCCGACGAUCUGUAGCUGGUCUGAGAGGACGACCAGCCACACUGGGACUGAGACACGGCCCAGACUCCUACGGGAGGCAGCAGUGGGGAAUUUUGGACAAUGGGCGAAAGCCUGAUCCAGCCAUUCCGCGUGCAGGAUGAAGGCCCUCGGGUUGUAAACUGCUUUUGUACGGAACGAGAAGGCUCUUUCUAAUACAGAGGGCUCAUGACGGUACCGUAAGAAUAAGCACCGGCUAACUACGUGCCAGCAGCCGCCGUAAGAC
rnacentral:rRNA from 1 species